UACGUAGGGAGCAAGCGUUGUCCGGAUUCACUGGGUGUAAAGGGCGCGCAGGCGGAUUCGUAAGUCAGAGGUGAAAUCUCACGGCUUAACCGUGAAACUGCCUUUGAUACUGCAGAUCUUGAGUUUGGGAGAGGUUGAUGGAAUUCCAGGUGUAGCGGUGAAAUGCGUAGAUAUCUGGAGGAACACCGGUGGCGAAGGCGGCAUCCUGGACCGAUACUGACGCUGAGGAGCGAAAGCCAGGGGAGCAAACGGG
rnacentral:rRNA from 1 species